GUAAAUACUGUGAAGAGGAAUAGUACAUGUCUGGACACAUGCAGAAAGCUGCCGGGGGAUGCGAGGCAGUUGUGGAAGGGGAUGGAACUCGCCUUGGAGUAGCCAGCUGAAGGGAACGGGCCGAUGGCCGGAGGUUCCUGCGUAGGUGGAGCCGGGACUUGACCGUUACUUGAGAAGGAAGGAUGACAGACCAGAAGAUGGGAUGCGCCGUCCGCAAUGAGUGCAUGCGAGAGCAUGAAGUAGAGUGGUACCACGUAAGGAUGAUAAGCCCUUGCGUCUCUAUC
rnacentral:ncRNA from 1 species